AUACGGAGGAUCCGAGCGUUAUCCGGAUUUAUUGGGUUUAAAGGGUGCGCAGGCGGGAGAUUAAGUCGGCGGUGAAAUUUUUCAGCUCAACUGUAAAAGGGCCUUCGAAACUGGUUUCCUUGAGGGUUGGUGAAGUAGGCGGAAUUUGUGGUGUUGCGGUGAAAUGCAUAAAUAUCACGAGGAACUCCGAUUGCGCAGGCAGCUUACUAAACUACUACUGACGCUCAGGCACGAAGGCGUGGGGAUCAAACAGGAUUAGAUACCCUGGUAGUCCACGCAGUAAACGAUGAUUACUAGCUGUUUGCGAUACAAUGUAAGCGGCUGAGCGAAAGCGUUAAGUAAUCCACCUGGGGAGUACGUUCGCAAGAAUGAAACUCAAAUGAAUUGACGGG
rnacentral:rRNA from 1 species